rnacentral:rRNA from 1 species
UACGUAGGGUGCGAGCGUUGUCCGGAAUUAUUGGGCGUAAAGGGCUCGUAGGCGGUUUGUCGCGUCGGGAGUGAAAUCCACUGGCUUAACUGGUGGCUUGCUUCGAUACGGGCAGACUGGAGGUAUGCAGGGGAGAACGGAAUUCCUGGUGUAGCGGUGAAAUGCGUAGAGAUCCGGAGGAACACCAAAGGCGAAGGCAGUGUCCUGGGGAGUACCUGACGCUCAGGUGCGAAAGCCAGGGGAGCGAACGGG